GCAUUGCUCCAUAACCAAGAGUGGCUCUGCUAAUAAGCCCAAGAAGCAAAGAGCCCUGAAAAAGUGUGCUAGGAACCUGAACCAACUCUGCAGCAGCAGAAGGAUUGGAUGACAGUAACAGCCCAACUGCAAACAUGGAAGAAGACAAUGCAGCACCAGCAAAAGGACCCGCAAGAGAAAUGUCUACCUUUGCUUUGCGAUCAGGAAGAAUGGAUUUGAACUGAGUUAUUGCUCCAAAGCUUCCAAGAGUGAUGUUUGGAAUGAAGUAAGGAAUGCUUAGUUUCACAUUCCUAGGAAAUGCAGCCAGAAAAUGCCCAAUUUCAUGAAAUAAUUGGACACCCAACACACCAUAUGCCAGUGGUAAAGCAGAA
rnacentral:misc_RNA from 1 species